rnacentral:tRNA from 1 species
GGGCGAUUAGCUCAGUUGGUUAGAGCGCUUGCUCGACACGCAAGAGGCCAGCGGUUCGAAUCCGUUAUCGCCCA